UCCUUGAUUGGUGGUAGAAGCGCUUCCGCAUUCAACACAUGCAUAUGCCCCUGUCCGUGGAGGUUACUGUGAACAAAACAGCGUGUCCAAAGCAACCACAUGUCUGGCUGAAUGAUCUAGCAUGGAAUAACAAGGCAUCGACCACUGGAGUCAGCCUUUUUGUUGGUUUUACAUGACCCAGUUGGGCAAUGCAGGGCUUGUGCUUCAUUGAGGUUCUUAGUCAGCUCUACCGAACUGUCUUCCCUCAGUUGGACCUUGUUCCCUAUCGGGAUCAAUGGAAGCCAUCGGGGUGGUAUGUAUUCCGACGUGAGCGGUGAAAUGCUUAGACCGUUGGAAGACAAACGACAGCGAAGGCAUUCCGCCAGAAUGUUUUCAUUAAUCAAGAACGAGAGUGUGGGGAUCGAAGAUGAUCAGAUACCAUCGUAGUCCAUUACCGUAAACUAUGUCAACUCGGCAUUGGGAGUCUGUUCACUUUGAAGACUCUCCCAGCAUCAUCCCCCAAUAACGAGAAAUCCAAGUCUAUGGGUUCAGGGGGGAGUACAGUCGCAAGGCUGAAACUUAAAGGAAUUGACGGAAUGACACCACAAGGCGUGGAGUAUGCGGCUUAAUUUGACCCAACACGGGGAAGCUUACCAGGUCAGACACAGUAAGGAUUGACAGAUUGAGAGCUCUUUCUUGAUCCUAUGGAUGGUGGUGCAUGGCCGUUUCUGGUUCGUGGAGUGAUCUGUCUGCUUAAUUGCGAUAACGAACGAGAUCUCUACCUCUAAAUAGGCGCCGGUCUCGCAUGUAAGUAGGGAUGUGUUGGGGGCCUUCGUGUCCCCUCAUGUCCUGAGAGUGCCGGGAUCGCUUCUUAGACGGACUGUGCAUGUCUUUAAUGCACGGAAGAGGGAGUCAAUAGCAGGUCUGUGAUGCUCCUAGAUGUUCUGGGCUGCACGCGCACUACACUGGCACAGUAAACGAGUUGCACCUGCUUCGGCAGUCCUGCUUAGAAGUGAGCGUGGGAAAUCUUAGAAAACUGUGCCGUGCUGGGGAUAGAUGAUUGCGAUUAUUUGUCUUGAACGAGGAAUGCCUAGUAGAGGUACUUCAUCAGAGUACCUUGAUUGUGUCCCUGCCAUUUGUACACACCGCCCGUCGUUGCUACCGAUUGGCUGUAAAAUAGAGGCCUUAAGAGUCGCUUCCGCAAAGCUUUGCUUUUGAGGUUGUGACAAAUCUGGCCAAUAUUUCAUUGCUAGAGGAAGCAAAAGUCGUAACAAGG
rnacentral:rRNA from 1 species